rnacentral:tRNA from 1 species
GCUGGGGUUUUGGCUCAAAGUUAGAGUGCUCGCCUCCCAUGCGUGAGGCACUGGGUUUGAUCCUCAGCACCAGCU